AUUAAGGUGGCAGAGCCAAGCUAAUGCAAAAGACCUAAAAUCUUUAUACAGGGGAGCAAAUCCCCUCCCUAAUA
rnacentral:tRNA from 1 species